CUCUCUCAUUCAUAAAAGCUUUAUUGGCAUGAGAAAUAAACAAUUUACAUUGCCCAAGCAGGUGAUCAAUAAAGAGAAUAUGGUAUAAAACGUUAAAUACAAAAUGUAUAUGAAUAUCAGACAUAAUACCAAGUAAUGGUGGGCUAACUUCAGCGUCGGAAUAAAAAGUUACAUCUCGUACGGAGCAAAAAGUCUCUUCUCUUCUGAUCGAUUGCUCUUCUUUUAAUAAAACCUUUUAUAUUGAAUGUUUCCUCGACCAUCGAUCGACCCUCACCAGAGCCCAUCUACAUAGGCUAUAAGACAUUCUGCCCUCACUUCAGCCACCUCUGGUAAGUCCAUUUACGAACGUUGUGUCAUGACGUUGGCCGAAAGUUAAAUAAAUCGAGCUAUAUUAUAUGUCAAAUAUAUACAUAUACCAAUACUUAAAAAUCAAGGCUAUACAUAGCCUAUAGGCCUACGCCUACCAAUACUUUAAAAUCAAGGCUAAACAGACAUUUUUUUAACUAAUCACACAAGUCCCGUUUUUUUAAUCAGAAUUACUAGAUAUCGUGAACCUCAUCGACGUAUAAUAACAUAUAUGCACAAUAUACAUUAUGAAACAGUAAUGUGACCUUAUGUUGAAUCAAUAUAACUUGGUUAUGUGGGGAAUUUACAAUAAUACAAAUGCACCACCAAACAUUUAUUGAGAUGCACCUUUAUAAUACAGGUGCAUUUAGGUGAUUUACGAGGUUUGUGGUUUACGGGGCGGUCUUUAGACGGCAGUUGAAAUGCAAUCCGAUUCAACGCGGAAACGAAACUUAAAACUGCGCCAAAUUGACAUGACGUGGAGGGACUCUUUCUGGAGACAAAGAACAACACCAUAUAAACGAUGUAAUCCAACAAGCUCCAAAGCAUUAUAAGGUCUCCAGUUUACCAUGGAUGAGGAGAGAGAGGAGGGGGGUUCUCCCCCUAAAUCCACUCUGUCUGGGGAACAUGGCCGCCAGAGCAAAGACAAGAGGUAUAACAGGAAGAUCUCUAACUGCCUGUGACUGUUGUCCAUCUCAGAGGUCAGCAGUGAUGUAUCAUGAGACCUUCAUUAAUCAGAGUAAAAGCUGUGUGUGUCUGUUAUGGUGAAGCCCAGAGCAGCAGGAGAGAGCAGACUCCCCUGGACCCAGCUGUGUCUCCAUGAAGAGUGACUGGUCUAUGGAUGCACCUGUUAAGUUUAAAGAUGGAAAUCAGUCUAUUGAGAAAAGGUAAGAAUUGAUCAGCGAUGAUAAAAAAAACAGAGGUGGGGGUAAGUCACUCAUGUGCAAGUCACAAGCAAGUCUCAAGUCAUAAUCUUC